GGCUACUUUCCUACCACUUCCUUAUCUCUUGAAGAGUCAGACCCACUGCGGGCUUCCUUUUCCAUCACGGGUUCCCUGGGCCCCGCGCGCCCUCUCCCCACGACCCCGCUCACUUCCUUCUGCGCGCUCCCCGGGAGCGUCUUUCCGCUUCUCUCCGGUCUUCCCACUCCAGCUAGGGACUCGCCCUCGUGUCUCCUUCCCUCUCUCCAGGGGGAGACGAUGGCACUACCGCGCCCCUUCCCGCCAUGCGUUUGUUUGCGGCGUUCCCCGACGCGCGCGCUGAGGCUCUGGUCUGCGGCUCUGCGCUUGGCGGCUGCGCGCCCUCGGCCUUCGGGUCCCCGCCGCCUCCGUGCUGCAAGGUCUGAUUUCUUCCUGUGGAGUUAACACGGAAAAGCGCAGACGGCCACAUUCAUGACCCGGGAGUAACGGCUCUACCUGUCACAUUCGCUUUCAGCCUAAAACAAAAUUUUAGUUUAUUUUAGACAAAAUAUAUAACUAAGGUAUGCUGGCCUUCUGACUGAUUUAUUCUUGCUGUUAACGGAAGUGUAGAAAGUGAGCCCAAGUCCUCAGUGAACAGUGGGGGCGCUGCCCAGGUGCAGGACUGGCCCCCUGGGGGUCUCGGGACGGCUCCCGCCUCCGUCUUCCCCGCACCGCGCACUUUGGAGGCCUGGGCACAGGUGGAGGCGGCGCUGGGUCCCGCCGUACACUCCCCUGUCGCAGGCGCCCUCUCUCCAGCCGGAGGGAACCUCAAAAAAGCUCUGAGCGAGUCCCCGUCCCAGGUGGGGCCGCGGCUUAUACCGGGACCACUCCAGGGUAGCUCAAGGUUCGAAAACGGAAUCCCUGUCCGGUGAACCAGAGAAGAGAAAAUCGCUCGGGGCCACCUGGGUAGAGACCGGAGGGGUGACUGCCUUGACUGGGAGGCGUGGAGGAGCGAGCGGGGUCUGCGGCUCCGGCCGGGAGUUUUGAUCCCGAAAGAUGUCCAGCGGAGGCAUCACCAAGAUUUCCGGGAGUGCUGGGGAUUGGAAAGAAUCGUGGAUAGGAGACUAAGCGAGCCGUCCCGGAAGCAACAGUUGCUGUGAAGACUUUGGGCACAGACCUGCACGUGAGAGUAUGCUCUUGAGGGUUGUGGGGGCUCUCCUUUUACAGCUAGGGAUCACUUGUCGAACGUACCCGGAGAGUAGCUGCUAGCAGACAAUAUUAUGGCGACAGAGGUAGGUGUGGGUUUCCGUAGUGUAGUGGUCAUCACGUUCGCCUAACACGCGAAAGGUCCCCGGUUCGAAACCGGGCGGAAACAUGCCACAGUGUUUUUUUUUUUUUUCCCCCCCCUUUCUUUUGAGAUGGGGUUUCGCUCUUGUUGCCCAGGCUGGAGUGCAAUGGAGUGAUCUCGGCUCACAGCAACCUCCGCCUCCCAGGUUCAAGCCAUUCUCCUGCCUCAGGCUCCGGAGUAGCUGGGAUUACAGGCAUGCGCCACCACGCCCGGCUAAUUUUGUAUUUUUAGUAGAGACGGAGUUUCUCCAUGUUGGUCAGGCUGGUCUCGAACUCCGGACCUCAGGUGAUCCGCCCACCUCGGCCUCCCAAAGCGCUGGGAUUACAGGCGUGAGCCACCGCGCGCGGCCCCGAAGCGGUUAUUAUCUCAUUACACGCUCUUAUUACACUGGAGACUAACCUAGAAGAUCCCACUAGUAUGUCCACCUGGUGGUCACAGCGGCACAAAGAGAAGAGGGCAUCUACGCUUUUGCUUUCCAUUCCCAACCACCCGCACCUGUGAACUCAAUCCAGUUUUACUUGCUGUGGACAAGCUCGGCACAGAGCUCAUCCACUGGACAGCGGCACGCUGCCAAAUGGAACCCCGCAUCUCGAGUAUGUGUGGGGCCCAUUACUCCUUUUGUAACCCAUAGGGGACAAAAGUGACAAAACUACCACAAACUGGCAGCGGUGGGAUUCGAACCCACGCCCCCGAAGAGACUGGAGCCUUAAUCCAGCGCCUUAGACCGCUCGGCCACGCUACCUCUUUGCCGCUGGGUAUUUACAUAUUUUCCUUCAGUUAUGAAGCGUGCGAAGGGGCUCUGGGCCAACAGGGAGUUGGGGCGAAUCCACAGGGCAGGACCAUGGCAGGAUCCGCUCCGCCAAAGCCACUGGCUGGGAAACGGCUCCACCAGUGCCCUGACACAGGAUUCUCAAUGCCCAGGCCUCAGGAUCUGCUUUAGGAAGGCCAGUCAUAAAGCCACCCUCUUUGGGGAAUGCACUCCAGAGCAGGGGAAGACUUCGACACUCUCACUUCAAAAAAUCAAAAACAAAUACAAUGAAAAAUAAAAUAAAAUAAAAACCUAAAGAAAAACAAGCAAAAAACCCCAGCCUGGGCAACAUGGCGAAACCCUGUCUCUACAAAAGAUGUAAACAUUAGCCGGGCGUGAUGGUGUGUGACCAUAGUCCUAGCUACUCAGGAAGCUGAGCCCAGGAGGUCGAGGCUGCAGUGAGCCGAGAUCGCCCCACUGCACUCCAGCCUAGGUGACAGAGCAAGACCCUGUACCAAAACCAAUCAAACAAAAACAAAACAAAACAAACAAAAAGCCCCAACAACAACAAAGCAGACAACAAACUGAGAGUAUGUAUUGACUUUAUGAGUCAUGAGCAGAAACGUUCUUAGCAACUUCAUUCAUAAUAACUCACUUAUGGAAACAGUCCAAAUGCCCACCAUCUUCACAUUGGAUAAAUAAAAUUGUGUACAGUCUUAUUUUAUUUUAUUUUUUUAUUAUAUAUAUAGUCUUAUAUGGGAUUAUUAUAACACUGAUAAUGAGCUUACUGCUGCAAACAGCAUGGACGGAUUUCACCGU
rnacentral:tRNA from 1 species